rnacentral:rRNA from 1 species
GACGAACGCUGGCGGCGUGCUUAACACAUGCAAAUCGAACGGAAAGGCCCUGCUUUUGUGGGGUGCUCGAGUGGCGAACGGGUGAGUAACACGUGAGUAACCUGCCCUUGACUUUGGGAUAACUUCAGGAAACUGGGGCUAAUACCGGAUAGGAGCUCCUGCUGCAUGGUGGGGGUUGGAAAGUUUCGGCGGUUGGGGAUGGACUCGCGGCUUAUCAGCUUGUUGGUGGGGUAGUGGCUUACCAAGGCUUUGACGGGUAGCCGGCCUGAGAGGGUGACCGGCCACAUUGGGACUGAGAUACGGCCCAGACUCCUACGGGAGGCAGCAGUGGGGAAUAUUGCACAAUGGGCGGAAGCCUGAUGCAGCAACGCCGCGUGCGGGAUGACGGCCUUCGGGUUGUAAACCGCUUUCGCCUGUGACGAAGCGUGAGUGACAGUAAUGGGUAAAGAAGCACCGGCUAACUACGUG